UGCCGGAUCGUCUAACGGUAGGACGCUCGGUUCUGGUCCGAGAAGUUGGGGUUCGAAUCCCUGUCCGGCAG
rnacentral:tRNA from 1 species